GGGGGUGAAUUUGGCUUCGACGGGAUUAACGAAGCAAUAAAUUGCGCAUCGUGUUUCUCCGGCAGACACGUUAAACGGCUGGUAAAUAAACCUUAACUGGCGAAUAUAACUACGCCCUCGCUGCUUAAUUAGUUAAGCAGCCGUUCUUUGUAAGUUCUCGUAUCGGUUUACAAAAGAACGUCGUUUAGAUACGAUAGCCAAGCCGAGUGUUUGAGGCGGCAAGGCAAAUCUUAAUCAAACAGAUUUAUCGGGAAGUUUGUUUAUUCCGCACCUUUAAAUCUAUCAGAAAUAAACUAUGUGUGUAGAAGUUUAUUGAGUCUUAGUUUCGGACGCGGGUUCGACUCCCGCCACCUCCACAA
rfam:Ignavibacteria bacterium CG1_02_37_35 cg1_0.2_scaffold_13211_c, whole genome shotgun sequence.